AUUGAACGCUGGCGGCAGGCCUAACACAUGCAAGUCGAACGGUAACAGGAAGCAGCUUGCUGCUUUGCUGACGAGUGGCGGACGGGUGAGUAAUGUCUGGGAAACUGCCCGAUGGAGGGGGAUAACUACUGGAAACGGUAGCUAAUACCGCAUAACGUCGCAAGACCAAAGAGGGGGACCUUAGGGCCUCUUGCCAUCGGAUGUGCCCAGAUGGGAUUAGCUAGUAGGUGGGGUAACGGCUCACCUAGGCGACGAUCCCUAGCUGGUCUGAGAGGAUGACCAGCCACACUGGAACUGAGACACGGUCCAGACUCCUACGGGAGGCAGCAGUGGGGAAUAUUGCACAAUGGGCGCAAGCCUGUUGCAGCCAUGCCGCGUGUAUGAAGAAGGCCUUCGGGUUGUAAAGUACUUUCAGCGGGGAGGAAGGGAGUAAAGUUAAUACCUUUGCUCAUUGACGUUACCCGCAGAAGAAGCACCGGCUAACUCCGUG
rnacentral:rRNA from 1 species